GCAGUAAUGAAAACAGUGUCCAGGAACAGAUGGCUCCGUCAGUGGGACAGAACGGGUCAUUCCACAGCCAUGUCUCAGCUGUGCAGGCACUUAAGGUGUGAUAAAGGACUCUUUCCAAACCCAGGAGGGAGCAGUGGGCCAUUUAAUAAAUAGCACCAAGACAACUGGUGAGCCAAGUAGAAAAAAUAUAGACCCUACCUACACCUCUGGCAUCCUAUUAAAAACCAAACCCUACACAAAAUAACUCCUUAGCUGUAAGAACAAGACAAUAACAGGGCAAUCUGGCACCUGGAUGCAGGGCAGCAUUCUAGGUGAAAAGGGAGACAGAAACAACAAAGCAGUAGCAGCAAGAAAAUGACCACAAAUGCUUUCAAAACUUCUGACAUCAAACACUCCAGUGCUAAAUGUUUAAAGGUCUAUGCCAUGUGUGGAGACAGCGCUGCAGCUGAGCACUUGCUAUUCUUGUGGGAGACCCAAGUUCAGUUUCUUGCGAGUUAAGUUUCCAAUGCCAACUGGGAGCCUCAUGACCUGGGAGCUGUAAGUCCAGCUCCAGGUGAGCCAUGGUCCUUUGCCUCUGGGGGCACCUGAACUCAUGUGCACAUAUCUAUCCAUAGGCACACACGCAAAUACUUAAUUAAAAAUCAUGAAAACAAAUCUUCAAAAAGUAUGCAUUGAACUUGGAAAAGUAUAUUCCAAGGCAACCUGGCACAGAGAUCUUGUUAUGAUAUUUAAGUAUUUAAAUGUGUGGUUGAAAUUAUUAAAUAACAUUAAAUGAUAACUAUAUAUCUCAAUGGGACAACACUCAAGGAGAUUAACCACAGAAUUUAUAAUGAUAGCCAAGAUUCAAAGGCUCAACCUUGCAAGCAAGUGCAAAGAGGAGAGAUGCCAGCUGUCAUUUAUCUAAAGGAUGGGGAUUUUUCAAAUGCUUACUUUUAAAGCACAGGGUAACGGGGAUGGACGUUACUGCCCGUGGCAUUGUCAGACUGGGGAAGGGUCUGCCAUUGACCAUUUCUCUGCCUUUCAUGUAGCCCCUCUCCUCCUGUAAAUCCAUUUCAAGGACAUAACAAGAAAUGUGGACCAAGAUUAAUGCACAAACAUGCUGCUAGCUCUGUGAUUUGCAAUAGCAAAAUAUUGGCUCACCUAAGGUCCCACACUGAGGGAGUGAACUGAUUUGUCCCCUAUGGCCAACCCUCCAUCUACCGGAUCCUGAGCACAAAGCACUUUCAAGACCGUGGGAAACUCAUGAAUCAUGAGAACAGGGCAGAUCCAGGUUCCGAGGGACCUGAAGAUUGUACAACUUGUGUGGCCUCGGAGAGGAUAAAAAUCACUGGUGGAGGGAGGGGCGGAAUGUAGGCUGUGAGCUCCGAGGUUUAAGCUUCAUUUGUUCCGUGGAGGCUAGCUUGGAAUACUAAAUUAUGAAGUCUGACAAAAAGAACAUAUAAGAAAAUGCUUGUGCAACAGAAAAGGGCGUGAGACAAAGACGCACAUUAGGAGCUUUUGCUAACUGUCCUCACCUUGUUAUGAAUCAUUAACUAAAACAGAAGCAACUUUUAAAUGAAGCAAAGUCGGGCAAGACAAGAAUGGGGAAUUCAGAGAGAAAGGUGGGCAGAGAGAAGACAUGGGGAGCUGGGUUUUAAAGAUGCAUAAGGCAAGCCUGGGGGCCAGUCACAGAACAGCAAGGGCUGAAAGAGAGAUGGCUAGAGCAAGCUGAAGGUGGAGGGUGAGUGUAUAGUGUCUAAGAGGAUGUGGGAACAGGGCCACAGACAGUUCCUAAUUAGAUUCCAGAGGUCUGAGCUUUAUCACAGUAAGGAGCCUGGCAGAGGGUUAGCCUGAGUGGGUCUUCAUAGCUAACAAAUUCUUAGACAGUGCAAGUCGAAAUGUCCCUAGAGGUAGAGCUAUUUGAAAGGACAGUGAAAAUGAGAACUUGGUCCCUGGGGAAAGAAAUAUUUGAAGCAGACGAAAUAAAACAAUUCCAGAUCAGGCAGGAUUGAUACCCCAGGCUAACCUAAGGAAGGCUUCAGGCCAGGAAGGGCUCUGAAUAUUUUGGGGGACAGUGGGAUAGCGAGGUCUCAGGGAUAGGGCCCUAUGAUAAUGUAAUCUGCUGCAGGUCCAGAUCUAGGUGGGAUAUCUGACUUCCCCAUGUCCAGAGCCUAGAGAUAUAUAUCGUUAAAGAAGUUAAAAAUUUGGCACAUCAAACUCUACAGGGGCAGAGAAGGCACUGGCCACCCCUCACAGAGGAAGCAAUCCAUCUAUGCCAUCCCGAGGUAACAAUCAACUGGUGACUGAAGAGUCAGAUAAAAUAAAAAUUCUUGCAACCAAUGUAUACGUGUACUGAAUCUUGGGAGAGAAGUAGAUUUUUCUACCCAGGAAGUUCUUACCUAUGGAAUGAUGGUGGUCUCCUUUUAUGUGUAUGCAUGUGGGAGUGUAUUUCCGUGUGUGUGUGUGUGUGUGUGUGUGUGUGUGUGUGUGUGUGUGUGUGUGUUCAUGGGCAUUUAUGUGUAUUCAGGUGAGUGUGCAAAGAUGUGCUUGUGCAUGGAGGUCAUAGGUCAAUCCUGGGGGAUAUUCCUAAGGAGCAGCCUGCCAUGGUUUUGAGACAGGAUUUGCACUUGGAAAUGGGGCUUGCUGAUGUAGCUAGACUGGCUGGCUAUGAAGCCCCGGUGAACCACCUGUCUCCAUGUCCCCAGCUUUGGGCUUCUGAACAUGCAACACCGGAGUUGGCUUUUUAUGUAGGUGCUGGGGAUUGAAGUGUGUUGUUCACGCUUGUGCAGUAAGGACAGCCCCACCCCUCCAUUCUUCUUGUCUGUAAAUCUAACAGGUUGCUAGAUUCUUUUCUCUGCAGCUUUUUCCAAGUUUAAAAACCGAAGCUUUGGUAGAAAAACACUUGGCAAGUGCCCACACACCUGCACUCUGGCUUAUGUCUGGAUCACAGGAGCUAUAUACAUGAGUCAGAAAAUUACAAGAAGAUGAGAAAAGUCUCAUCUUCAGGGAA
rnacentral:lncRNA from 1 species